AGAGUUUGAUCCUGGCUCAGGAUGAACGCUAGCGGCAGGCCUAAUACAUGCAAGUCGAACGGUAAAUACUUCAGCAAUGAAGUAUGAGAGUGACGUACGGGUGCGUAACACGUAUGCAACCUACCCUUUACAGGAGUAUAGCUCGGGGAAACCCGGAUUAAUCCUCCAUAAUAUCAUUGGAUGGCAUCAUUUGAUGAUUAAAGAUUUAUCGGUAAAGGAUGGGCAUGCGUCUGAUUAGCUAGUUGGUAGUGUAAUGGACUACCAAGGCGAUGAUCAGUAGGGGAACUGAGAGGUUGAUCCCCCACACUGGCACUGAGAUACGGGCCAGACUCCUACGGGAGGCAGCAGUAGGGAAUAUUGGUCAAUGGGUGAGAGCCUGAACCAGCCAUGCCGCGUGCAGGAAGACGGCCUUCUGGGUUGUAAACUGCUUUUACCAGGGGAUAAAAUUUCCAUGCGUGGAAAAUUGAAGGUACCUGGUGAAUAAGCCACGGCUAACUACGUGCCAGCAGCCGCGGUAAUACGUAGGUGGCGAGCGUUGUCCGGAUUUAUUGGGUUUAAAGGGUGCGUAGGCGGCCCUGUAAGUCAGUGCUGAAAUAUCCCGGCUUAACCGGGAGGGUGGCAUUGAUACUGUGGGGCUAGAGUACAGAUGAGGUAGGCGGAAUUGACGGUAGCGGUGAAAUGCUUAGAUAUCGUCAAGAACACCGAUAGCGAAGGCAGCUUACUGGACUGAAACUGACGCUGAUGCACGAAAGUGUGGGGAUCAAACAGGAUUAGAUACCCUAGUAGUCC
rnacentral:rRNA from 1 species